rnacentral:rRNA from 1 species
CCCUUAGAUGUCCUGGGCCGCACGCGCGCUACACUGAGUGUCUGAGAUACGAGUCUGCCUGGUCCGGCAAGGUCUAGGUAAUCGCUAAAAGACACAUCAUGCUUGGGAUAGAUUAUUGCAAAUAUUAAUCUUGAACGAGGAAUUCCUGGUAAGCGCAAGUCAACAGCUUGCGUUGAUUACGUCCCUGCCCUUUGUACACACCGCCCGUCGCUACUACUGAUUGGAUGUUUAAGCGAGGUUCUCGAACUGCUAGCGACUUAGCUUCGGUGAGGUCGCAGUGUGGGAAGUGAACCUAGCUUUGGUGUCUAGAGGAAGUAAAAGUCGUAACA